rnacentral:rRNA from 1 species
GAGUUUGAUCCUGGCUCAGGAUGAACGCUGGCGGCGCGCCUAACACAUGCAAGUCGAACGGCACCCCUCUCCGGAGGGAAGCGAGUGGCGAACGGCUGAGUAACACGUGGAGAACCUGCCCCCUCCCCCGGGAUAGCCGCCCGAAAGGACGGGUAAUACCGGAUACCCCGGGGUGCCGCAUGGCGCCCCGGCUAAAGCCCCGACGGGAGGGGAUGGCUCCGCGGCCCAUCAGGUAGACGGCGGGGUGACGGCCCACCGUGCCGACAACGGGUAGCCGGGUUGAGAGACCGACCGGCCAGAUUGGGACUGAGACACGGCCCAGACUCCUACGGGAGGCAGCAGUGGGGAAUCUUGCGCAAUGGGGGGAACCCUGACGCAGCGACGCCGCGUGCGGGACGGAGGCCUUCGGGUCGUAAACCGCUUUCAGCAGGGAAGAGUCAAGACUGUACCUGCAGAAGAAGCCCCGGCUAACUACGUGCCAGCAGCCGCGGUAAUUC